rnacentral:rRNA from 1 species
AACGAACGCUGGCGGCAGGCUUAACACAUGCAAGUCGAGCGCCCCCGCAAGGGGAGCGGCAGACGGGUGAGUAACGCGUGGGAACAUACCCUUUGGUUCGGAAUAACUCAGGGAAACUUGAGCUAAUACCGGAUACGUCCGUAAGGAGAAAGAUUUAUCGCCAAAGGAUUGGCCCGCGUCCGAUUAGCUAGUUGGUGAGGUAACGGCUCACCAAGGCUACGAUCGGUAGCUGGUCUGAGAGGAUGAUCAGCCACAUUGGGACUGAGACACGGCCCAAACUCCUACGGGAGGCAGCAGUGGGGGAAUAUUGGACAAUGGGCGCAAGCCUGAUCCAGCCAUGCCCGCGUGAGUGAUG